rnacentral:rRNA from 1 species
GAUGAACGCUGGCGGCGUGCCUAACACAUGCAAGUCGAGCGAACAGAUGAUGAGCUUGCUCCUCUGACGUUAGCGGCGGACGUGUGAGUAACACGUGUAUAACCUACCUAUAAUUCUGGUAUAACUUCGGGAAACCGGCUCUAAUACCGGAUAAGAUAUUGAACCGCAUUGUUCAUUAGUGAAAUACGGUUUUGCUGUCACUUCUAGAUGGAUCUGCGCCGCAUUAGCUAGUUGGUAAGGUAACGGCUUACCAAGGCAACGCUGCGUAGCCGACCUGAGAGGGUGAUCGGCCACACUGGAACUGAGACACGGUCCAGACUCCUACGGGAGGCAGCAGUAGGGAAUCGUCCGCAAUGGGCGAAAACCUGACGGAGCAACGCCGAGUGAGUGAUGAAGAUCUUCGGAUCGUGAAACUCUGUUAUUAGGGAAGAACAAAUGUGUAAGUAACUAUGCACGUCUUGACGGUAACUAAUCAGAAAGCCACGGCUAACUACGUG